rnacentral:rRNA from 1 species
UUGAACGCUGGCGGCAUGCCUUAUACAUGCAAGUCGAACGGUAACAGGUCUUCGGAUGCUGACGAGUGGCGAACGGGUGAGUAAUACAUCGGAACGUGCCCAGACGUGGGGGAUAACGAGGCGAAAGCUUUGCUAAUACCGCAUACGAUCUAAGGAUGAAAGCAGGGGACCGCAAGGCCUUGCGCGUUUGGAGCGGCCGAUGGCAGAUUAGGUAGUUGGUGGGAUAAAAGCUUACCAAGCCGACGAUCUGUAGCUGGUCUGAGAGGACGACCAGCCACACUGGGACUGAGACACGGCCCAGACUCCUACGGGAGGCAGCAGUGGGGAAUUUUGGACAAUGGGCGAAAGCCUGAUCCAGCAAUGCCGCGUGCAGGAUGAAGGCCUUCGGGUUGUAAACUGCUUUUGUACGGAACGAAAAGGCUCUGGCUAAUACCUGGGGCACAUGACGGUACCGUAAGAAUAAGCACCGGCUAACUACGUG